UGAAUAAAAGGCAAGCCUCGCGGCGUCUAAACAUCUUAAGUCUUCGUAAAAAGACAAAGACUUGAAGGAUGAAGGUGUACAUCGUGGUCCUGCUGGUCCUCGUGGCUGUGGUCGCUGCCACUGACUUCGAGAAGAGACUGUUUCUGCCCAGCCUCAGUGAACUGGUGGCCAAGCUGAAGUCUCUGCUGGUAUCUCACUCGACCGUGACGCUCGGUGUCUGUGAGGCUGCGUGUGGCGCAGUUGCUGAACUUGCGGCCCCCUUGUGUGCUCCAGCUUGUGAGCUCGUCGUUAAGGAACUGAGUGGAUGAGUGCUGAAUUCUUCAGGACUCGGUCCACCUCACCCUAGUCUUGCUGAUAUAACAGCAGACGACGAUGUAAAAUAAAUCCUUGAAAAAACCCA
rnacentral:misc_RNA from 1 species